UUUCCGUAGGUGAACCUGCGGAAGGAUCAUUCAUAAUAAGUGUUUUAUGGCACUUUUUUAAAUCCAUAUCCACCUUGUGUGCAAUGUCAGGGUUGGUCUCUUUUGAUCAGCCCCAAACAUCAGCUAUUAUCUCAACUCUUUGUCUGAAAAAUAUUAUGAAUAAAACAAUUCAAAAUACAACUCUCAACAACGGAUCUCUUGGCUCUC
rnacentral:misc_RNA from 1 species